rnacentral:rRNA from 1 species
AUGUCAUGCAGAUUCUAGCUGGACCGCUGGAUUAAUGGGCAAACGGCGGUGGAGAUCGCCCCCCUUGUCUUCAAUCUUGUCCCUCGCCGACGUCGAAAGAACCGCCUGGUGCGCGACGGUAUACACCAAAGGGUGUGGGUCCAAGACAUCCAGGGCGCCCUCGGCCCCUUGGUGUUGCUGAAGUAUGUCGAGUUGUGGUGUCAGGUGCAGCUCGUUCAACUUACCGACUCACCUGACGCGAUUCGCUAG